rnacentral:rRNA from 1 species
CCCUUAGAUGUUCUGGGCCGCACGCGCGCUACACUGACUGACUCAACGAGUGUACAACCUGCUUCGACAGAAGUGGGUAAUCUUUUGAAAUUCAGUCGUGAUGGGGCUAGAUUAUUGCAACUAUUAAUCUUCAACGAGGAAUGCCUAGUAAGCGCGAAUCAUCAGUUCGCGUUGAUUACGUCCCUGCCCUUUGUACACACCGCCCGUCGCUACUACCGAUUGAACGUUUUAGUGAGGUACUCGGACUGAGCCUCAGAAGAUUCACGUCUUUUGUGCUGCUCGGGAAGAUUCCCAAACUUGAGCGUUUAGAGGAAGUAAAAGUCGUAACA